AUGAAUGCACGUGAUCUAGGACUAUUUGCUUUGGUGCUUAAUGGAUCGCAUCAUGCAUCCUAUUUAAACUGCAAUGCUUUACAUCUAAUGUUAUUUUUUGAGUCAUGGAACAGUGGCGGUCUUGAAGCGGUGGUGCCUUUCUAUACCAAGACUGGAUACAAAAUAAGGUUGAUUUUUGUUUGCUCUGACGAUAGGGAGGCAAGACCAGGAUCACAUUCUUGGCCCCGUUUGAAGGAACGACGAUUUUCAGGAUUGACGUGGAUUGAUUUUCUUGAACAUGAAGGUGUCAUUUUCAUUGCCAUUGAACACUAUAGACAAUUAGUUCAGAGUUAA
rnacentral:rRNA from 1 species